rnacentral:rRNA from 1 species
CCUACGGGAGGCAGCAGUGAGGAAUAUUGGUCAAUGGCCGGAAGGCUGAACCAGCCAAGCCGCGUGAAGGAAGAAGGUGCAGCGCAUUGUAAACCUCUUUUGUCAGGGGACAAAAUCAGGCACGAGAGCCUGACCGAGGGUACCUGAAGAAAAAGCAUCGGCUAACUCCGUGCCAGCAGCCGCGGUAAUACGGAGGAUGCGAGCGUUAUCCGGAUUUAUUGGGUUUAAAGGGUGCGUAGGCGGACUGUUAAGUCAGCGGUAAAAGCCCGGGGCUCAACCCCGGCGAGCCGUUGAAACUGGCGGUCUGGAGAUGUCGAGAGGUAUGCGGAAUGCGCAGUGUAGCGGUGAAAUGCUUAGAUAUUGCGCAGAACUCCGAUUGCGAAGGCAGCAUACCGGCGGCGAUCUGACGCUGAGGCACGAAAGCGUGGGUAUCGAACAGGAUUAGAUACCCCUGUAGUC